rnacentral:rRNA from 1 species
UUUGCCCGGUGCACUCUUCUGCUGUCAGGCCAGCAUCGGUUCGGGCGGUCGGAUAAAGGCUUCGGGAAUGUAGCUCCUCUCGAGGAGUGUUAUAGCCCGUUGCGAAAUGCGGCCAGCCUGAACUGAGGUCCGCGCUUCGGCUAGGAUGCUGGCGUAAUGGUUGUAAGCGGCCCGUCUUGAAACACGGACCAAGGAGUCUAACAUCUGUGCGAGUGUUUGGGUGUCAAACCCGUACGCGUAAUGAAAGUGAACGGAGGCGGGAACCCCUCGGGGUGCACCGUCGACCGAUCCUGAUGUCUUCGGAUGGAUUUGAGUAAGAGCAUAGCUGUUGGGACCCGAAAGAUGGUGAACUAUGCCUGAAUAGGGUGAAGCCAGAGGAAACUCUGGUGGAGGCUCGCAGCGGUUCUGACGUGCAAAUCGAUCGUCAAAUUUGGGCAUAGGGGCGAAAGACUAAUCGAACUAUCUAGUAGCUGGUUCCUGCCGAAGUUUCCCUCAGGAUAGCAGUAACGUUUUCAGUUUUAUGAGGUAAAGCGAAUGAUUAGAGGCCUGGGGGUUGAAACAACCUUCACCUAUUCUCAAACUUUAAAUAUGUAAGAAGUCCUUGUUACUUAGUUGAACGUGGACAUUUGAAUGUAUCGUUACUAGUGGGCCAUUUUUGGUAAGCAGAACUGGCGAUGCGGGAUGAACCGAACGCGGAGUUAAGGUGCCGGAAUGCACGCUCAUCAGACACCACAAAAGGUGUUAGUUCAUCUAG